GGAAGAUNUUCUUGGAUGCGUUAAAUAUUAAUCCAGUCAGAUCUGAAAAGAAGCAGCUGUAGUAUGGACAUGCAGGUCAAGAGAUCUUCCAAA
rnacentral:SRP_RNA from 1 species